rnacentral:rRNA from 1 species
AUGAACAUUAAAAGUUGCGGAGCUGUGGUGAGUCUUAAAAAGUGGUCUGAAUCUGUGGGUGCCAAGGGUGUACUUAACAUUGCUUGGGCCAAUGUUAGCAACAUCCCUCUGGAUAAAAGACAUGAAAGAAAUAUUGCAUAUGUUGGGUCUUUGGUGGGUGUCACAUUAGACAUUGAUAAAACUACUGUUAACAGACCCGAGUCGGUCAGAAUUAAACUGGGAUGUAGAGAUGCUGAAGAUAUCCCAGCUAAGGUUGAGGGGGUGCUGGGAGACCACUUCUAUGAUUUCUUCUAUUCGGUGGACAAAAUUAUUGUGAAAAAUCCCCCAAAAGAAAAAGUGGUUGUGUCUCAGGAGGCUGACAGGGGGUGUCACCCAAAAAGAGCCAGAAUUGCUGAAAAAACACAAAAUGAUGGGCAGGGGGGUUCCCCCUCCACUUUGGGGGACUUUUCUGCUCCACCCAAUUCAAUUGGGAGUAAAGUGAGUAUGCAUGUUGUAGUGGAAACCUUGGAAGAGAAAAGUGAGGCUGAUAAAAAACAAGGGGACAAUGAAGAGAAUUUCUCUGAUGAAGAAAGUGAGGAGAUUGAUAAUGAGCUGCUUAUUGAUACUAUAGUUGCUGAAAACACAAGAGAUCAGAUGGAGGGAGUGGGGUCCCCUGAAACUCUGCCAUAUGAAAGAAUUGUGGUGAACUCUAUGCAGAUUAUACCCAAUGUUUCAUUUGUCUAA